rnacentral:rRNA from 1 species
GACGAACGCUGGCGGCGUGCUUAACACAUGCAAGUCGAGCGGUGCGGCGAACGGGUGAGUAACGCGUGAGUAACUGCCCCCCUCUCUGGGAUAACAGUUGGAAACGGCUGCUAAUACCGGAUAGUGGGGGAUGACUCGCGUCCUAUCAGCUUGUUGGUGGGGUCGUGGCUUACCAAGGCGACGACGGGUACCCGGCCUGAGAGGGCGACCGGCCACAUUGGGCUGAGGUACGGCCCAAACGCCUACGUGAGGCAGCAGUGGGGAAUAUUGCACAAUUGUGCAAACCCUGAGGCGGCAACGCCGCGGGCGGGAUGACGGCCUUCGGGGUAGAAACCGCUUUCAGCCAUGACGCGUUACCAACAGAAUAAGCACCGGCUAACUUCGUGCCAGCAGCCGCGGUAAUUC